UACAGGGGGGGCAAGCGUUGUUCGGAAUUACUGGGCGUAAAGGGCGCGUAGGCGGAAUGGCAAGUCGGUCGUGAAAUCCUUCGGCUCAACCGAAGAACGUCGAUCGAAACUGCCGUUCUUGAGGAUUGCAGAGGAGACUGGAAUUCCCGGUGUAGCGGUGAAAUGUGUAGAGAUCGGGAGGAACACCGGUGGCGAAGGCGGGUCUCUGGGCAAUUCCUGACGCUGAGGCGCGAAAGCGUGGGGAGCAAACGGG
rnacentral:rRNA from 1 species